rnacentral:rRNA from 1 species
CAUGCAAGUCGAGGGGCAGCAGGGGUAGCAAUACCCGCUGGCGACCGGCAAACGGGUGUGGAACACGUACGCAACCUUCCUCCAAGCGGGAGAUAGCCCGGAGAAAUCCGGAUUAAUACCCCAUAGGAUUGUGGAUCGGCAUCGAUCAGCAAUUAAAGAUUUAUCACUUGGAGAUGGGCGUGCGUCUGAUUAGGUAGUUGGUGAGGUAACGGCUCACCAAGCCGACGAUCAGUAACUGGCGUGAGAGCGCGACCAGUCACACGGGCACUGAGACACGGGCCCGACUCCUACGGGAGGCAGCAGUAAGGAAUAUUGGUCAAUGGACGCAAGUCUGAACCAGCCAUGCCGCGUGGAGGAUGAAGGUCCUCUGGAUUGUAAACUUCUUUUAUCUGGGAAGAAAUGGUUUUUUUCUAAAGACCUUGACGGUACCAGAUGAAUAAGCACCGGCUAACUCCGUGCCAGCAGCCGCGGUAAUACGGAGGGUGCAAGCGUUAUCCGGAUUCACUGGGUUUAAAGGGUGCGUAGGCGGAAUGGAAAGUCCGUUGUGAAAUCUCUGAGCUUAACUCGGAAAUUGCGGUGGAUACUAUCAUUCUUGAAUACUGUGGAGGUUAGCGGAAUAUGUCAUGUAGCGGUGAAAUGCAUAGAUAUGACAUAGAACACCAAUUGCGAAAGGCAGCUGGCUACACAGAUAUUGACGCUGA